rnacentral:rRNA from 1 species
UUCGAUCCUGGCUCAGAUUGAACGCUGACGGAUAACUUUGCAUGCAGGUCGAACGGCAGCACGGACUUCGGUCUGGUGGCGAGUGGCGAACAGGUGAGUAAUGUAUCGGAACGUGCCUAGUGGCAGGGGAUAACUACAUGAAAGCGUAGCUAAUACCAUACGCCCCCUUCGGGGGAAAGCGGGGGACCCCUUCCGGGCCUCGCACUGUUAGAGCGGCCGAUAUCGGAUUGGCUAGUUGGUGGGGUAACUUGGCUCGCAAGGCGACGAUCCGUAGCUGGUUUGAGAGGACGACCAGCCACACUGGGACUGAGACACGGCCCAGACUCCUGCAGGGAGGCAGCAGUGGGGUACCGGACAGUAAACCUGAUCCAGCCAUCCCGCGUGUGCGAUGACCUUCGGGUUGUAAAGCACUUUUGGCAGGAAAGAAACGGCGCAGGACCAUGCCCCGUGCAACUGGUAGUACCUGCAGAAUAAGCACCGGCUAACUACGUGCCAGCAGCCGCGGUAAUACGUAGGGUGCAAGCGUUAAUCGGAAUUACUGGGCGUAAAGCGUGCGCAGGCGGUUCCGGAAAGAAGAUGUGAAAUCCAGAGCUUAACUUUGGAACUGCAUUUUUAACUACCGAGCUGAGUGUGUCAGAGGGAGGUGGAAUUCCGCGUGUAGCAGUGAAAUGCGUAGAUAUGCGGAGAGGAACACACCGAUGGCGAAGGCAGCCUCCUGGGAGGAUAACACUGACGCUCGUAGAAAUACGUGGGGGAGCAAACAGGAUUAGAUACCCUGGUAGUCCACGCCUAAACGAUGUCAACUAGCUGUUGGGGCCUUCCCGGAGCCUUGGUAGCGCAAUAACGCGUGAAGUUGACCGCCUGAGAUACAGUCGCAAGAUUAAGCUCAAAGGAAUUGACGGGGACCCGCACAAGUGGUGGAUGAUGUGGAUUAAUUCGAUGCAACGCGAAAAACCCUUACCUACCCUUGACAUGUCUGGAAUCCGAAGAGAUUUGGGAGUGCUCGCAAGAGAACCGGAACACAGGUGCUGCAUGGCUGUCGUCAGCUCGUGUCGUGAGAUGUUGGGUUAAGUCCCACGCAACGAAGCGCAACCCUUGUCAUUAGUUGCUACGAGAAAGGGCACUCUAAUGAGACUGCCGGUGACAAACCGGAGGAAGGUGGGGAUGACGUCAAAGGUCUCGCGGCCCUUAUGGGUGGGGCUUCACACGUCAUCACAAUGGUCGGGACAGAGGGUCGCCAACCCGCGAGGGGGAACCAAUCAGAAACCCGAUCGUAGUCCGGAUCACCAGUCUACCGCUCGACUGCGUGAAGUCGGAAUCGCUAGUAAUCGCGGAUCAGCAUGUCGCGGUGAAUACGUUCCCCGGCGGUCAGCGGGCACCGCCCGUCACACCAUGGGAGUGGGUUUUACCAGAAGUAGUUAGCCUAACCGUAAGGAGGGCAGUUACGGUAGGAUUCAUGACUGGGGUGAAGUCGUAACAAGGUAG